AUGGUGUUGAGCCUUGGAGAUGCC
rnacentral:siRNA from 1 species